AUAGAUACCCAGGUAGUCCACGCCGUAAACGAUGAGUGCUAAGUGUUAGAGGGUUUCCGCCCUUUAGUGCUGCAGCUAACGCAUUAAGCACUCCGCCUGGGGAGUACGGUCGCAAGACUGAAACUCAAAGGAAUUGACGGGGGCCCGCACAAGCGGUGGAGCAUGUGGUUUAAUUCGAAGCAACGCGAAGAACCUUACCAGGUCUUGACAUCCCACUGACCGGUAUAGAGAUAUACCUUUCCCUUCGGGGACAGUGGUGACAGGUGGUGCAUGGUUGUCGUCAGCUCGUGUCGUGAGAUGUUGGGUUAAGUCCCGCAACGAGCGCAACCCUUGAUCUUAGUUGCCAGCAUUUAGUUGGGCACUCUAAGGUGACUGCCGGUGACAAACCGGAGGAAGGUGGGGAUGACGUCAAAUCAUCAUGCCCCUUAUGACCUGGGCUACACACGUGCUACAAUGGAUGGUACAAAGGGCUGCAAGACUGCGAAGUCAAGCCAAUCCCAUAAAACCAUUCUCAGUUCGGAUUGCAGG
rnacentral:rRNA from 1 species